rnacentral:rRNA from 1 species
GGACCCGCACAAGCGGUGGAGUAUGUGGCUUAAUUCGAUGCAACGCGAAGAACCUUACCUAGGCUUGACAUGCUUGUCGUACUCUCCCGAAAAGGAGAGGUCACUUCGGGUGGACAAUGCACAGGUGCUGCAUGGCCGUCGUCAGCUCGUGUCGUGAGAUGUUUGGUUAAGUCCAGCAACGAGCGCCAACCCCUGUGAACUGUUGCCAGCGCGUAAAGGCGGGGACUCUGUUCAGACUGCCCAGAUCAACUGGGAGGAAGGUGGGGAUGACGUCAAAUCAUCACGGCCCUUACGUCCUGGGCUACACACGUGCUACAAUGGCCGGUACAGAGAGCAGCCACUUCGCAAGAAGGAG